rnacentral:rRNA from 1 species
AACGAACGCUGGCGGCAUGCCUAACACAUGCAAGUCGAACGAGACCUUCGGGUCUAGUGGCGCAUGGGUGCGUAACGCGUGGGAACCUGCCCUUAGGUUCGGAAUAACUCCCCGAAAGGGGUGCUAAUACCGGAUAAUGUCUUCGGACCAAAGAUUUAUCGCCUUUGGAUGGGCCCGCGUUGGAUUAGCUAGUUGGUAGGGUAAAAGCCUACCAAGGCGACGAUCCAUAGCUGGUCUGAGAGGAUGAUCAGCCACACUGGGACUGAGACACGGCCCAGACUCCUGCGGGAGGCAGCAGUGGGGAAUAUUGGACAAUGGGCGAAAGCCUGAUCCAGCAAUGCCGCGUGAGUGAUGAAGGCCUUAGGGUUGUAAAGCUCUUUUACCCGGGAUGAUAAUGACAGUACCGGGAGAAUAAGCUCCGGCUAACUCCGUG